AGAACGAACGCUGGCGGCAUGCCUAAUACAUGCAAGUCGAACGAACACUUCGGUGUUAGUGGCGCACGGGUGCGUAACGCGUGGGAAUCUGCCCUUGGGUUCGGAAUAACAGUUGGAACGACUGCUAAUACCGGAUGAUAUCGAAAGAUCAAAGAUUUAUCGCCCAGGGAUGAGCCCGCGUAGGAUUAGCUAGUUGGUGAGGUAAAGGCUCACCAAGGCGACGAUCCUUAGCUGGUCUGAGAGGAUGACCAGCCACACUGGGACUGAGACACCGGCCCAGACUCCCGUACGGGGAGCGAGCAAGGUAGGGAAUAUUGGGAACAAGUGGGCGACAAGGCCUGACUCCGAAGCAAGUGCCGCGGUGAGUGAUAGAAGGUCCGUUAGGGUUAGUAAGUCUUACCGUUUACCCGGAGUAUUAGAAGUAAGUAGAACUAGGUUAAGU
rnacentral:rRNA from 1 species